AAGUCGUAACAAGGUAACCGUAGGUGAACCUGCGGUUGGAUCAUUAGUAAAUGGAGUUUUCCAUAGUAAUGUUGCCUCGCCCGGUUGCAGGUUUGCGUAGCUUGCUAUGCGAGCCUCCUGGGCAGGUAUUCACACACUUUGUGCACCGAGAUUGUAUUCUGGGCUUGCUUAACCGUGGUUAAGCGUGAAGAGCCCAGCAUUUUUAAACCACUUUAAAUUACUCUGAAUUUUUUAUUAUAAAAAAUAACAACUUUUGACAACGGAUCUCUUGGCUCUC
rnacentral:misc_RNA from 1 species